rnacentral:rRNA from 1 species
CCCGGCGACCGGCGCACGGUGAGUAACACGUAUGCAACCUGGCCGCCACAGGGGAUAACCCGCGGAAACGCGGCCUAAUACCCCGUGACGCCACCGGAGGGCAUCCUCCGGUGGCCAAAGGAGCGAUCCGGUGGCGGAUGGGCAUGCGGCGCAUUAGCUAGACGGCGGGGUGACGGCCCACCGUGGCGACGAUGCGUAGGGGUUCUGAGAGGAAGGCCCCCCCACACUGGGACUGAGACACGGCCCAGACUCCUACGGGAGGCAGCAG